AACGAACGCUGGCGGCAUGCCUAACACAUGCAAGUCGAACGAGACCUUCGGGUCUAGUGGCGCACGGGUGCGUAACGCGUGGGAACCUGCCCUUAGGUUCGGAAUAACUCCCCGAAAGGGGUGCUAAUACCGGAUAAUGUCUUCGGACCAAAGAUUUAUCGCCUUUUGAUGGGCCCGCGUUGGAUUAGCUAGUUGGUAGGGUAAAAGCCUACCAAGGCGACGAUCCAUAGCUGGUCUGAGAGGAUGAUCAGCCACACUGGGACUGAGACACGGCCCAGACUCCUACGGGAGGCAGCAGUGGGGAAUAUUGGACAAUGGGCGAAAGCCUGAUCCAGCAAUGCCGCGUGAGUGAUGAAGGCCUUAGGGUUGUAAAGCUCUUUUACCCGGGAUGAUAAUGACAGUACCGGGAGAAUAAGCGCCGGCUAACUCCGUG
rnacentral:rRNA from 1 species